rnacentral:lncRNA from 1 species
UAGUAGUCAAGAAUAUUUCACUCACUCCCGAACAUCAUCAAAAUGAAAUGUCACUUUGAUAACAAAUAAUACAGGAUUAUGGAACCUCAACGCACCGUUCAUGUGAGGAGAAUAUAUCUUACAUGCAUGUAAGAUAGGAAUUGCCCAUACUCAAAAGAAAUACAAGAAUAUUGACAUAACAUUUGGUUUAGAACCAGAAAUAAAGGAGUAAUGAAGUCGCACGUGCACGGGCUAAGCAAUCAAUCGGUGUCGUUCCUUUGCAUGGACAGAGCUGGACUGGUGGUGCGUCGCGUCUAGCUAUUUUACGUACGCAGUACGCUUCAACUCGUACAACUGAAAAUGAAGAAAGUGACGUAACAGUGGCAGCUUUUAUCAAAAGUUGAAUAAGAGAGGUGCGCGAACGGCGGGCCUAGACUCUCUCUUUCAUCGGUCAGGACUCAGUAGUCGGUCCCCUUGUGGUUCCGGAGUCCGGACACAACACAAAGCUUUCUUGAUUUCUCUCCUUCCUUUCUUUCAAAGUAAUUGAUUCUCGGAGCUGCUUAAGGACAGGAAAAAAAAAAGAAAAAAAAGAAAGAGUAACUCAAGUCAAGGCCUUCAAGCGUUUAAACUGAGAGGCUAAUUUUGGAUUCAGGUAAGUAAUGUUGGAAUUAUAUGAUCUUCCACAAUACUAAUAUCCCUAGUUGGAGGGAAUGCGAG